UACGGAGGGGGCUAGCGUUGUUCGGAAUUACUGGGCGUAAAGGGCGCGCAGGCGCCCCAUCAAGUCAGACGUGAAAGGCCUGGGCUCAACCCGGGAACUGCGUUUGAGACUGAUGGGCUGGAGUCCGGGAGAGGUGAGCGGAAUUCCCAGUGUAGAGGUGAAAUUCGUAGAUAUUGGGAAGAACACCGGUGGCGAAGGCGGCUCACUGGACCGGUACUGACGCUGAGGCGCGAAAGCGUGGGGAGCAAACAGG
rnacentral:misc_RNA from 1 species